CUACGGGCGGCAGCAGUGGGGAAUAUUGGACAAUGGGGGAAACCCUGAUCCAGCAAUGCCGCGUGUGUGAAGAAGGCCUGCGGGUUGUAAAGCACUUUCGGUUGGGAGGACUGCUUCUAGCACUAAUAUUGUUGGAAGUUGACGUUACCUUCAGCAGAAGCACCGGCUAACUCCGUGCCAGCAGCCGCGGUAAUACGGAGGGUGCAAGCGUGAAUCGGAAUUACUGGGCGUAAAGCGCGCGUAGGCGGCGAGAUCAGUCGGGUGUGAAAGCCCCGGGCUUAACCUGGGAACUGCAUCCGAUACUGUCUAGCUUGAGUACAGGAGAGGAGAGUGGAAUUCCACAUGUAGCGGUGAAAUGCGUAGAUAUGUGGAGGAACACCAAUGGCGAAGGCAGCUCUCUGGCCUGAUACUGACGCUGAGGUGCGAAAGCGUGGGGAGCAAACAGGAUUAGAUACCCGUGUAGUC
rnacentral:rRNA from 1 species